GACGGAGGAUGCGAGCGUUAUCCGGAAUUAUUGGGCGUAAAGCGUCCGUAGGCGGUUAUUCAAGUCUGCUGUCAAAGACUACAGCUCAACUGUGGAAAGGCAGUGGAAACUGAGGAACUGGAGUGCGGUAGGGGUAGAGGGAAUUCCCAGUGUAGCGGUGAAAUGCGUAGAUAUUGGGAAGAACACCAGUGGCGAAGGCGCUCUACUGGGCCGUAACUGACGCUGAGGGACGAAAGCUAGGGGAGCGAAAGGG
rnacentral:rRNA from 2 species